CGCAUCUCUUGGGCCAAUGAUGUCAAUUCAGGGCAGUAUCCGAUUCCAAGCUCUGUAAGUGAGGUGAGGUUGCCUAUCCAGCGUGGUAUUGUUGCCAAACGAGAGCAGUCCCAAAUUUUGAGAGUUUGGAGAGUGGAAACAUGUUGACGAAGCUCGUCUGGCAGAGACAUCAAAUCAUCUAUGCUUUCAACAGACACAGACUCCAAUGAAGAAGCAGUAGCCAACAUCAACUCCCGUAGUACCACCUCUUUGACUUUACAUAGGUACAGCUUCUCAAGGCAGGGAGAUGGAGGAAAUAGUAAAGAUGUCAGUUGGGGGCAAUUCCUGAUGUCUAAACUAGAAAGAAGAGGAGACGAAUGCAGUUCCAAGGAUGCCAAGUCACCACAAUACCGAAUAUCUAAUUGCGAAAGAAGAGAAGGAGGCAGUCGCAGGGAUGUCAGCUUAGGACAUUGUGUAAUCUUUAACUUGGAAAGAAGAGGAGAUGAAUGCAGUUUCUUUUUCUCUAAUGUGUUUGGACAAAAAUAAUUUCUUUAAAACAAUAAUUUCAUAAAAUAAUUUGAUUCUCACGAUAAUUUCAAAACUAUUAUGUCUUAUUCCUUCGAAUAUAUAAAUUAUAUUAUUUUUAUUUUUAUAAUUAUUUUAAUUUCAAUAAUAUAUAAAU
rnacentral:lncRNA from 1 species